rnacentral:rRNA from 1 species
CUCCUGGAAACGGGUGGUAAUGCCGGAUGUUCCACAUGAGCGCAUGCGAGUGUGGGAAAGGCUUUUUGCGGCAUGGGAUGGGGUCGCGUCCUAUCAGCUUGUUGGUGGGGUAACGGCCUACCAAGGCGUUGACGGGUAGCCGGCCUGAGAGGGCGACCGGCCACAUUGGGACUGAGAUACGGCCCAGACUCCUACGGGAGGCAGCAGUGGGGAAUAUUGCACAAUGGGCGCAAGCCUGAUGCAGCGACGCCGCGUGCGGGAUGGAGGCCUUCGGGUUGUAAACCGCUUUUGUUCAAGGGCAAGGCACGGUCUUCGGCCGUGUUGAGUGGAUUGUUCGAAUAAGCACCGGCUAACUACGUGCCAGCAGCCGCGGUAAUACGUAGGGUGCAAGCGUUAUCCGGAUUUAUUGGGCGUAAAGGGCUCGUAGGCGGUUCGUCGCGUCCGGUGUGAAAGUCCAUCGCUUAACGGUGGAUCCGCGCCGGGUACGGGCGGGCUUGAGUGCGGUAGGGGAGACUGGAAUUCCCGGUGUAACGGUGGAAUGUGUAGAUAUCGGGAAGAACACC